rnacentral:rRNA from 1 species
AGUCUUCCCCUUCGGGGGACAAAGUGACAGGUGGUGCAUGGUUGUCGUCAGCUCGUGUCGUGAGAUGUUGGGUUAAGUCCCGCAACGAGCGCAACCCUUAAGCUUAGUUGCCAGCAUUAAGUUGGGCACUCUAAGUUGACUGCCGGUGACAAACCGGAGGAAGGUGGGGAUGACGUCAAAUCAUCAUGCCCCUUAUGAUUUGGGCUACACACGUGCUACAAUGGACAAUACAAAGGGCAGCUAAACCGCGAGGUCAUGCAAAUCCCAUAAAGUUGUUCUCAGUUCGGAUUGUAGUCUGCAACUCGACUACAUGAAGCUGGAAUCGCUAGUAAUCGUAGAUCAGCAUGUUACGGUGAAUACGUUCCCGGGUCUUGUACACACCGCCCGUCACACCACGAGAGUCUGUAACACCCGAAGCCGGUGGAGUAACCAUUUAUGGAGCUAGCCGUCGAAGGUGGGACAAAUGAUUGGGGUGAAGUCGUAACAAGGUAGCCGUAUCGGAA